UUCAUGAUGGCUCAGACGGUAAAGCAUCUGUCUGCAAUGCAGGAGACCUGGGUUUGAUCCCUGGUUUAGGAA
rnacentral:tRNA from 1 species